AUGUGCUGCUCGUGCACUCCAGUUCAGCGGCCCCAUCCACGCCAAUUAACGACUGCUCGCUGCGUUCUGUCAGCC
rnacentral:sRNA from 1 species